ensembl:misc_RNA 7SK 7SK RNA
GGCUGUGAGGGCGGCCUGGCUGUGACAUGUCACUCCACUGACCGCCAGGGCCGAUUCGGCUGACCUGGCUGGCUGGCUGGCGUCCCUCCUCCCUCGCCCAUCCAUGCCCUCGCACUGAGUGGAAAAGGAUGACCUUCCCCCAGAGGAGAGGACCCGUCUCGGUCUCGGGUCAAGGGCAUAUGAGUAGCCGCGCUCCCCCGUGGGAGCCUCCCCACAAGCUCUCGGAGGCUCCAGUGGGAUCACCGGCGCUCGAGGCUGAAGUGACAUCGGACUGGAGUC